GCGAACGACCGGUCCGCUGGGGCGCUAAUAGGGAGGGCGCAAGCGUUGUCCGGAAUUAUGGGGCGGAAAGAGCUCGUAGGCGGUCGGUCACGUCUGCUGUGAAAACCCGGGGCUUAACCCCGGGCUUGCAGUGGAUACGGGCAGACUAGAGGCAGGUAGGGGAGAAUGGAAUUCCCGGUGUAGCGGUGAAAUGCGCAGAUAUCGGGAGGAACACCGGUGGCGAAGGCGGUUCUCUGGGCCUGACCUGACGCUGAGGAGCGAAAGCGUGGGGAGCGAACAGGAUUAGAUACCCUAGUAGUC
rnacentral:rRNA from 1 species